rnacentral:rRNA from 1 species
UUAAGUUAUUAAGGGCGCACGGUGGAUGCCUUGGCACUAGAAGCCGAUGAAGGACGUUACUAACGACGAUAUGCUUUGGGGAGCUGUAAGUAAGCUUUGAUCCAGAGAUUUCCGAAUGGGGAAACCCAGCAUGACUGGAAAGAUGAAUCAAAGAAGGUAAUAAUCCUGUAGUCGAAAAUGUUGUCUCUCUUGAGUGGAUCCUGAGUACGACGGAGCACGUGAAAUUCCGUCGGAAUCUGGGAGGACCAUCUCCUAAGGCUAAAUACUCUCUAGUGACCGAUAGUGAACCAGUACCGUGAGGGAAAGGUGAAAAGCACCCCGGAAGGGGAGUGAAAUAGAACCUGAAACCGUGUGCUUACAAGUAGUCAGAGCCCGUUAAUGGGUGAUGGCGUGCCUUUUGUAGAAUGAACCGGCGAGUUACGAUUUGAUGCAAGGUUAAGCAGUAAAUGUGGAGCCGUAGCGAAAGCGAGUCUGAAUAGGGCGUUUAGUAUUUGGUCGUAGACCCGAAACCAGGUGAUCUACCCUUGGUCAGGUUGAAGUUCAGGUAACACUGAAUGGAGGACCGAACCGACUUACGUUGAAAAGUGAGCGGAUGAACUGAGGGUAGCGGAGAAAUUCCAAUCGAACCUGGAGAUAGCUGGUUCUCUCCGAAAUAGCUUUAGGGCUAGCCUCAAGUGAUGAUUAUUGGAGGUAGAGCACUGUUUGGACGAGGGGCCCCUCUCGGGUUACCGAAUUCAGACAAACUCCGAAUGCCAAUUAAUUUAACUUGGGAGUCAGAACAUGGGUGAUAAGGUCCGUGUUCGAAAGGGAAACAGCCCAGACCACCAGCUAAGGUCCCAAAAUAUAUGUUAAGUGGAAAAGGAUGUGGCGUUGCCCAGACAACUAGGAUGUUGGCUUAGAAGCAGCCAUCAUUUAAAGAGUGCGUAAUAGCUCACUAGUCGAGUGACACUGCGCCGAAAAUGUACCGGGGCUAAACAUAUUACCGAAGCUGUGGAUUGUCCUUUGGACAAUGGUAGGAGAGCGUUCUAAGGGCGUUGAAGCAUGAUCGUAAGGACAUGUGGAGCGCUUAGAAGUGAGAAUGCCGGUGUGAGUAGCGAAAGACGGGUGAGAAUCCCGUCCACCGAUUGACUAAGGUUUCCAGAGGAAGGCUCGUCCGCUCUGGGUUAGUCGGGUCCUAAGCUGAGGCCGACAGGCGUAGGCGAUGGAUAACAGGUUGAUAUUCCUGUACCACCUAUAAUCGUUUUAAUCGAUGGGGGGACGCAGUAGGAUAGGCGAAGCGUGCGAUUGGAUUGCACGUCUAAGCAGUAAGGCUGAGUAUUAGGCAAAUCCGGUACUCGUUAAGGCUGAGCUGUGAUGGGGAGAAGACAUUGWGUCUUCGAGUCGUUGAUUUCACACUGCCGAGAAAAGCCUCUAGAUAGAAAAUAGGUGCCCGUACCGCAAACCGACACAGGUAGUCAAGAUGAGAAUUCUAAGGUGAGCGAGCGAACUCUCGUUAAGGAACUCGGCAAAAUGACCCCGUAACUUCGGGAGAAGGGGUGCUCUUUAGGGUUAACGCCCAGAAGAGCCGCAGUGAAUAGGCCCAAGCGACUGUUUAUCAAAAACACAGGUCUCUGCUAAACCGUAAGGUGAUGUAUAGGGGCUGACGCCUGCCCGGUGCUGGAAGGUUAAGAGGAGUGGUUAGCUUCUGCGAAGCUACGAAUCGAAGCCCCAGUAAACGGCGGCCGUAACUAUAACGGUCCUAAGGUAGCGAAAUUCCUUGUCGGGUAAGUUCCGACCCGCACGAAAGGCGUAACGAUUUGGGCACUGUCUCAACGAGAGACUCGGUGAAAUCAUAGUACCUGUGAAGAUGCAGGUUACCCGCGACAGGACGGAAAGACCCCGUGGAGCUUUACUGUAGCCUGAUAUUGAAAUUCGGCACAGCUUGUACAGGAUAGGUAGGAGCCUUUGAAACGUGAGCGCUAGCUUACGUGGAGGCGCUGGUGGGAUACUACCCUAGCUGUGUUGGCUUUCUAACCCGCACCACUUAUCGUGGUGGGAGACAGUGUCAGGCGGGCAGUUUGACUGGGGCGGUCGCCUCCUAAAAGGUAACGGAGGCGCUCAAAGGUUCCCUCAGAAUGGUUGGAAAUCAUUCAUAGAGUGYAAAGGCAUAAGGGAGCUUGACUGCGAGACCUACAAGUCGAGCAGGGUCGAAAGACGGACUUAGUGAUCCGGUGGUUCCGCAUGGAAGGGCCAUCGCUCAACGGAUAAAAGCUACCCCGGGGAUAACAGGCUUAUCUCCCCCAAGAGUUCACAUCGACGGGGAGGUUUGGCACCUCGAUGUCGGCUCAUCGCAUCCUGGGGCUGUAGUCGGUCCCAAGGGUUGGGCUGUUCGCCCAUUAAAGCGGUACGCGAGCUGGGUUCAGAACGUCGUGAGACAGUUCGGUCCCUAUCCGUCGUGGGCGUAGGAAAUUUGAGAGGAGCUGUCCUUAGUACGAGAGGACCGGGAUGGACAUACCUCUGGUGUACCAGUUGUCGUGCCAACGGCAUAGCUGGGUAGCUAUGUGUGGACGGGAUAAGUGCUGAAAGCAUCUAAGCAUGAAGCCCCCCUCAAGAUGAGAUUUCCCAACUUCGGUUAUAAGAUCCCUCAAAGAUGAUGAGGUUAAUAGGUUCGAGGUGGAAGCAUGGUGACAUGUGGAGCUGACGAAUACUAAUCGAUCGAAGACUUAAUCAA